AUUCGCCCUUAGAGUUUGAUCCUGGCUCAGGACGAACGCUGGCGGCGUGCCUAACACAUGCAAGUCGAACGGGGUUGAGUGCUUCGGUAUUCAACCUAGUGGCGAACGGGUGAGUAACGCGUGAGAAACCUGCCUUUCAGUGGGGGACAACAGUUGGAAACGACUGCUAAUACCGCAUGAUACUUCGAGGGGGCAUCCCUUUGAAGUCAAAGCUUUAUGUGCUGAAAGAUGGUCUCGCGUCUGAUUAGCUUGUUGGCGGGGUAACGGCCCACCAAGGCGACGAUCAGUAGCCGGUCUGAGAGGAUGAACGGCCACAUUGGGACUGAGAUACGGCCCAGACUCCUACGGGAGGCAGCAGUGGGGAAUAUUGGGCAAUGGGGGAAACCCUGACCCAGCAACGCCGCGUGAAGGAAGAAGGCCUUCGGGUUGUAAACUUCUUUUAGCAGGGACGAAGAACGUGACGGUACCUGCAGAAAAAGCAACGGCUAACUACGUGCCAGCAGCCGCGGUAAUACGUAGGUUGCAAGCGUUGUCCGGAUUUACUGGGUGUAAAGGGCGUGUAGGCGGAGAUGCAAGUUAGGAGUGAAAUCCAUGGGCUCAACCCAUGAACUGCUUUCAAAACUGUAUCCCUUGAGUAUCGGAGAGGCAAGCGGAAUUCCUAGUGUAGCGGUGAAAUGCGUAGAUAUUAGGAGGAACACCAGUGGCGAAGGCGGCUUGCUGGACGACAACUGACGCUGAGGCGCGAAAGCGUGGGGAGCAAACAGGAUUAGAUACCCUGGUAGUCCACGCUGUAAACGAUGAAUACUUAGGUGUGGGAGGACUGACCCCUUCCCUGCCGCAG
rnacentral:rRNA from 1 species